rnacentral:rRNA from 1 species
GAUUGAACGCUGGCGGCAUGCCUUACACAUGCAAGUCGAACGGCAGCACGGGUGCUUGCACCUGGUGGCGAGUGGCGAACGGGUGAGUAAUACAUCGGAACAUGUCCUGUAGUGGGGGAUAGCCCGGCGAAAGCCGGAUUAAUACCGCAUACGAUCUACGGAUGAAAGCGGGGGACCUUCGGGCCUCGCGCUAUAGGGUUGGCCGAUGGCUGAUUAGCUAGUUGGUGGGGUAAAGGCCUACCAAGGCGACGAUCAGUAGCUGGUCUGAGAGGACGACCAGCCACACUGGGACUGAGACACGGCCCAGACUCCUACGGGAGGCAGCAGUGGGGAAUUUUGGACAAUGGGCGAAAGCCUGAUCCAGCAAUGCCGCGUGUGUGAAGAAGGCCUUCGGGUUGUAAAGCACUUUUGUCCGGAAAGAAAUCCUUGGCUCUAAUACAGUCGGGGGAUGACGGUACCGGAAGAAUAAGCACCGGCUAACUACGUGCCAGCAGCCGCGGUAAUACGUAGGGUGCGAGCGUUAAUCGGAAUUACUGGGCGUAAAGCGUGCGCAGGCGGUUUGCUAAGACCGAUGUGAAAUCCCCGGGCUCAACCUGGGAACUGCAUUGGUGACUGGCAGGCUAGAGUAUGGCAGAGGGGGGUAGAAUUCCACGUGUAGCAGUGAAAUGCGUAGAGAUGUGGAGGAAUACCGAUGGCGAAGGCAGCCCCCUGGGCCAAUACUGACGCUCAUGCACGAAAGCGUGGGGGAGCAAACAGGAUUAGAUACCCUGGUAGUCCACGCCCUAAACGAUGUCAACUAGUUGUUGGGGAUUCAUUUCCUUAGUAACGUAGCUAACGCGUGAAGUUGACCGCCUGGGGAGUACGGUCGCAAGAUUAAAACUCAAAGGAAUUGACGGGGACCCGCACAAGCGGUGGAUGAUGUGGAUUAAUUCGAUGCAACGCGAAAAACCUUACCUACCCUUGACAUGGUCGGAAUCCCGCUGAGAGGUGGGAGUGCUCGAAAGAGAACCGGCGCACAGGUGCUGCAUGGCUGUCGUCAGCUCGUGUCGUGAGAUGUUGGGUUAAGUCCCGCAACGAGCGCAACCCUUGUCCUUAGUUGCUACGCAAGAGCACUCUAAGGAGACUGCCGGUGACAAACCGGAGGAAGGUGGGGAUGACGUCAAGUCCUCAUGGCCCUUAUGGGUAGGGCUUCACACGUCAUACAAUGGUCGGAACAGAGGGUUGCCAACCCGCGAGGGGGAGCUAAUCCCAGAAAACCGAUCGUAGUCCGGAUUGCACUCUGCAACUCGAGUGCAUGAAGCUGGAAUCGCUAGUAAUCGCGGAUCAGCAUGCCGCGGUGAAUACGUUCCCGGGUCUUGUACACACCGC